rnacentral:rRNA from 1 species
UACGUAGGAGGCGAGCGUUGUCCGGAGUUACUGGGCGUAAAGGGUGCGCAGGCGGCGGCGCGCGUGUGCGGUGAAAUCUCCCGGCUCAACUGGGAGGGGGCCGUGCAGACGGCGUCGCUUGAGGCUCGGCGGGGGGCGUGGAAUUCCGGGUGGAGCGGUGAAAUGCGUAGAGAUCCGGAGGAACACCGACGGCGAAGGCAGCGCCCUGGACGAGACCUGACGCUCAGGCACGAAAGCUGGGGGAG